UGGGGAAUUUUGGACAAUGGGCGAAAGCCUGAUCCAGCAAUGCCGCGUGUGUGAAGAAGGCCUUCGGGUUGUAAAGCACUUUUGUCCGGAAAGAAAUGGCUCUGGUUAAUACCUGGGGUCGAUGACGGUACCGGAAGAAUAAGGACCGGCUAACUACGUGCCAGCAGCCGCGGUAAUACGUAGGGUCCAAGCGUUAAUCGGAAUUACUGGGCGUAAAGCGUGCGCAGGCGGUUGUGCAAGACCGAUGUGAAAUCCCGAGCUUAACUUGGGAAUUGCAUUGGUGACUGCACGGCUAGAGUGUGUCAGAGGGGGGUAGAAUUCCACGUGUAGCAGUGAAAUGCGUAGAGAUGUGGAGGAAUACCGAUGGCGAAGGCAGCCCCUGGGAUAACACUGACGCUCAUGCACGAAAGCGUGGGGAGCAAACAGGAUUAGAUACCCUGGUAGUCCACGCCCUAAACGAUNUCAACUAGUUGUUGGGGAUUCAUUUCCUUAGUACGUAGC
rnacentral:rRNA from 1 species